rnacentral:rRNA from 1 species
CCUACGGGAGGCAGCAGUGGGGAAUAUUGCACAAUGGGGGAAACCCUGAUGCAGCGACGCCGCGUGAGUGAAGAAGCGUUUCGGCGCGUAAAGCUCUGUCAGCGGGGAAGAAACACGGUUCGCGAGAGCCGCGGACGGUACCCGACCAAGAAGCCCCGGCUAACUACGUGCCUGCAGCCGCGGUAAUACGUAGGGGGCAAGCGUUCUCCGGAUUAACGGGGUGUAAAGGGAGCGUAAACGGCGAGACAAGUCUGGAGUGAAAGGCCGGGGCCGACCCCCGGGACUGCUCUGGAAACUGCCUGGCUUGAGUACAGGAGAGGUAAGUGGAAUUCCUAGUGUAGCGGUGAAAUGCGUAGAUAUUAGGAGGAACACCAGUGGCGAAGGCGGCUUACUGGACUGUAACUGACGUUGAGGCUCGAAAGCGUGGGGAGCAAACAGGAUUAGAUACCCGAGUAGUC